UUUCUGUAAGGAAGACAUUCCCUUCUUCUGUUGUCACACAAGCAUGUACAACAGGAUCAUUGUGGACAUUGCUCCACCCAUCAAGACUCAGGUUAACAAUUUUACCCUCUAGACCUUUUGCGCACUGUUCGAUUUCUUUCAUACACUUCAUCCAGCAAUUUGCCUGCGACAUCUGCUCUGUUGGGUGGACUGUAUCCUGGUCUUAGUGACUGAACCAUGUUAAUGAAGUGUGGGUUCUCAAUCAUACGGAAAGAAGAAUUUGUAAACAAACUGGACAAUUUUUUCAUCAAUUACUACUUUUUGUAAUCUGCUGGUUCUUAUCACAAACUUAUCUAUGGUUGUUUCUGGAUGAUGGAUUUUUUUUUCUUUUUUGCUGCAGGUGAUAUAUUGUGGCUAUGUGAUAUACAUGAUGUGAUUGAAACACUAUCAUUGGCAGAUAACUCUGAAACUAUAGAAAAUGAUGUUGAUCUUGAAGCUGCAUCUAAAAUGAUAGUACCAUAGAGUAACAACUAUAUUUUUUUGUUCAAACGUGGAAAUUCAAGAAUAGUCCAGAAGGAAGGCAGGCUGUUCUUAAGAAAGAAGCCUGAAAUAAAAAAGUUUACCAACCUGAAGAUCCUGCAUGUUCCGACAUGUUCCUUUCAUCCUCUUCAACGCAGCUUCCUCCUGAGAAGGAAUACUUCUCAUGUUUCAUUUAAGCAACUAGGCCUUGCAUUUAUUUGUUGCACACAUGCCUGUCUUACCCACAGAUAGAGAAACUUCAUUAAAAUAUUCCCAAAUUGGCUCUCUCUUACA